rnacentral:rRNA from 1 species
AUGGGCGACGGCCGCGGCGGAGGGUCAAACCGCCCCGCGUGGCUGCAGCAGUACGAGCUGGUGGGGAAGAUCGGCGAGGGCACCUACGGCCUCGUCUUCCUCGCGCGCCUCAAGCCAACGCAUCCCCAGGCUGCUGGCCGCCGCGGCUCCCCCAUCGCCAUCAAGAAGUUCAAGCAAUCCAAUGAGGGCGAUGGCGUCUCGCCUACCGCCAUCAGAGAGAUCAUGCUCCUGCGCGAGAUCAACCACGAAAAUGUCGUCAAGCUCGUCAACGUCCACAUCAACCACGCCGACAUGUCCCUCUAUCUCGCCUUCGAUUACGCCGAGCAUGACCUCUAUGAGGUUAUUCGGCAUCACAGAGAGAAGCUUAACCUCUCCAUUAACCAAUACACAGUUAAAUCCUUGCUCUGGCAACUGCUCAAUGGCCUCAACUAUCUCCAUAGUAACUGGAUUAUCCAUCGAGACCUCAAGCCUUCUAAUAUACUGGUCAUGGGAGAAGGAGAAGAACAUGGAAUUAUAAAGAUUGCUGAUUUUGGUCUGGCUAGGAUAUAUCAAGCUCCACUAAAACCACUAAGUGACAAUGGGGUUGUUGUAACUAUCUGGUAUCGUGCACCUGAGCUGUUACUUGGAGCUAAACACUACACAAGUGCUGUUGACAUGUGGGCAGUUGGUUGCAUUUUUGCCGAAUUGCUUACACUGAAACCACUGUUCCAAGGGGUUGAAGCAAAAGCUACUCCAAACCCUUUUCAACUCGAUCAACUAGACAAGAUUUUUAAGGUCUUAGGUCAUCCUACGGUCGAGAAGUGGCCUACCCUUGCAAAUCUUCCAUGCUGGCAAAAUGACCAGCAACACAUUCAGGGGCAUAAGUAUGAGAACACAGGUCUUCAUACUAUUGUUCACUUGCCGCAGAAGGGUCCUGCAUUUGACCUUCUCUCAAGAAUGCUCGAGUAUGACCCUCGAAAGCGUAUUACAGCUGCACAAGCUUUGGAGCAUGAGUACUUCCGGAUGGACCCGCUACCUGGACGAAAUGCACUUGUACCAUCUCAGCCAGGCGAGAAAAUUGUCACAUAUCCUGUUCGUCCAGUAGACACCUCAACAGAUUUUGAAGGAACAACAAGCCUUCAACCAACUCAACCGCCAUCAGGGAAUGGACCUCCAGGAGGCCAGCCUGUACCAAGACAAAUCCCAAGGCAAAUGCAACAGCCUAUGGGUGGUAUGCAAAGAAUGCCUCCUGGUGCAAACAUGGGUGCCUUUGGCGCAGCACCCCAAGCAGGCAUGGUUGGGAUGAAUCCCGGUAACAUUCCAAUGCAGAGAGGCGCAGGUGGCCAGUCUCAUCCACACCAGUUGAGAAGGAAGGCUGAUCAAGGGAUGGGGAUGCAGAACCCUGGGUACCCUCAGCAGAAGAGGCGCUUCUGA